rnacentral:rRNA from 1 species
ACCAAGUUUGUAGUAAUACAGACUUGGUUCAGUGGCGCACGGGUGCGUAACACGUGAGCAAUCUGCCGGGAAGUGGGGGAUAGCUCGCCGAAAGGCGAAUUAAUACCGCAUGUGGCCAUCCUUCGAGUGGAGGAAAAGCCAAAGCAGCAAUGCGCUUCCUGAUGAGCUCGCGGCCUAUCAGCUCGAUGGCGGGGUAAUGGCCCACCAUGGCUUUGACGGGUAGCUGGUCUGAGAGGACGACCAGCCACACUGGAACUGAGACACGGUCCAGACACCUACGGGUGGCAGCAGUCGAGAAUUUUUCACAAUGGGGGAAACCCUGAUGGAGCGACGCCGCGUGGAGGAUGAAGGCCUUCGGGUUGUAAACUCCUGUCAUGCGGGAACAAGCAAGUGAUAGUACCGCAAGAGGAAGAGACGGCUAACUCUGUGCCAGCAGCCGCGGUAAUACAGAGGUCUCAAGCGUUGUUCGGAUUCAUUGGGCGUAAAGGGUGCGUAGGUGGUGAUGCAAGUCUGGUGUGAAAUCUCGGAGCUCAACUCCGAAAUUGCACCGGAUACUGCGUGACUCGAGGACUGUAGAGGAGAUCGGAAUUCACGGUGUAGCAGUGAAAUGCGUAGAUAUCGUGAGGAAGACCAGUUGCGAAGGCGGAUCUCUGGGCAGUUCCUGACACUGAGGCACGAAGGCCAGGGGAGCAAACGGGAUUAGAUACCCCGGUAGUCCUGGCAGUAAACGGUGCACGUUUGGUGUGGGCGGGUUCAGACCCCGUCCGUGCCGGAGCUAACGCGUUAAACGUGCCGCCUGGGAAGUACGGUCGCAAGAUU